rnacentral:misc_RNA from 1 species
UGGGCUUGACAUCCAUGUGAAAGCCCGUGGAAACACGGGCCCUCCUUCGGGACACAUGGACAGGUGCUGCAUGGCUGUCGUCAGCUCGUGUCGUGAGAUGUUGGGUUAAGUCCCGCAACGAGCGCAACCCUUGUCCCGUGUUGCCAGCGCGUAAAGGCGGGGACUCUCGGGAGACUGCCGGCGGGAAGCCGGAGGAAGGUGGGGAUGACGUUUGCGUAACAGAA